rnacentral:rRNA from 1 species
AUUGAACGCUGGCGGCAGGCCUAACACAUGCAAGUCGAGCGGAGCGGCGGACGGGUGAGUAAUUCCUAGGAAUCUGCCUGGUAGUGGGGGAUAACGUCCGGAAACGGGCGCUAAUACCGCAUACUAUCAGAUGAGCCUAGGUCGGAUUAGCUAGUUGGUGUGGUAAAGGCCUACCAAGGCGACGAUCCGUAACUGGUCUGAGAGGAUGAUCAGUCACACUGGAACUGAGACACGGUCCAGACUCCUACGUGAGGCAGCAGUGGGGAAUAUUGCACAAUGGGCGAAAGCCUGAUGCAGCCAUGCCGCGUGUGUGAAGAAGGUCUUCGGAUUGUAAAGCACUGUAAGUUGGGAGGCGUUACCAACAGAAUAAGCACCGGCUAACUUCGUGCCAGCAGCCGCGGUAAUUC